rnacentral:rRNA from 1 species
GUGAGAGCGUGCCUUUUGUAGAAUGAACCGGCGAGUUACGUUAUGAUGCGAGGUUAAGUUGAAGAGACGGAGCCGUAGGGAAACCGAGUCUGAACAGGGCGAAUUAGUAUCAUGACGUAGACCCGAAACCAUGUGACCUACCCAUGAGCAGGUUGAAGGUGCGGUAAGACGCACUGGAGGACCGAACCAGGGCACGUUGAAAAGUGCUUGGAUGACUUGUGGGUAGCGGAGAAAUUCCAAACGAACUUGGAGAUAGCUGGUUCUCUCCGAAAUAGCUUUAGGGCUAGCGUCGACAUUAGAGAUUCUUGGAGGUAGAGCACUGUUUGGGUGAGGGGUCCAUCCCGGAUUACCAAUCUCAGAUAAACUCCGAAUGCCAAUGAAUUAUGGUCGGCAGUCAGACUGCGAGUGCUAAGAUCCGUAGUCGAAAGGGAAACAGCCCAGACCACCAGCUAAGGUCCCAAAAUAAUUGUUAAGUGGAAAAGGAUGUGGGGUUGCACAGACAACUAGGAUGUUAGCUUAGAAGCAGCUAUUCAUUCAAAGAGUGCGUAAUAGCUCACUAGUCGAGUGACCCUGCGCCGAAAAUGUACCGGGGCUAAAACAAUUUACCGAAGCUGUGGAUACCUUUAUAGGUAUGGUAGGAGAGCGUUCUAUGUGUGAUGAAGGUAUACCGUGAGGAGUGCUGGAACGCAUAGAAGUGAGAAUGCCGGUAUGAGUAGCGAAAGACAGGUGAGAAUCCUGUCCACCGUAAGACUAAGGUUUCCAGGGGAAGGCUCGUCCGCCCUGGGUUAGUCGGGACCUAAGGAGAGACCGAAAGGUGUAUCCGAUGGACAACAGGUUGAUAUUCCUGUACUAGAGUAUGUAGUGAUGGAGGGACGCAGUAGGCUAACUAAAGCAGACGAUUGGAAGAGUCUGUCUAAGCAGUGAGGUGUGAAUUGAGUCAAAUGCUUAAUUCUAUAACAUUGAGCUGUGAUGGGGAGCGAAGUUUAGUAGCGAAGUUAGUGACGUCACACUGCCAAGAAAAGCUUCUAGCGUUUAAACAUACUCUACCCGUACCGCAAACCGACACAGGUAGUCGAGGCGAGUAGCCUCAGGUGAGCGAGAGAACUCUCGUUAAGGAACUCGGCAAAAUGACCCCGUAACUUCGGGAGAAGGGGUGCUGACUUUAGGUCAGCCGCAGUGAAUAGGCCCAAGCAACUGUUUAUCAAAAACACAGCUCUCUGCUAAAUCGUAAGAUGAUGUAUAGGGGGUGACGCCUGCCCGGUGCUGGAAGGUUAAGAGGAGUGCUUAGCGUAAGCGAAGGUAUGAAUUGAAGCCCCAGUAAACGGCGGCCGUAACUAUAACGGUCCUAAGGUAGCGAAAUUCCUUGUCGGGUAAGUUCCGACCCGCACGAAAGGCGUAAUGAUUUGGGCACUGUCUCAACGAGAGACUCGGUGAAAUUUUAGUACCUGUGAAGAUGCAGGUUACCCGCGACAGGACGGAAAGACCCCAUGGAGCUUUACUGCAGUUUGAUAUUGAGUGUCUGUACCACAUGUACAGGAUAGGUAGGAGUCUAAGAGAUCGGGACGCCAGUUUCGAAGGAGACGCUGUUGGGAUACUACCCUUGUGUUAUGGCCACUCUAACCCAGAUAGGUGAUCCCUAUCGGAGACAGUGUCUGACGGGCAGUUUGACUGGGGCGGUCGCCUCCUAAAAGGUAACGGAGGCGCCCAAAGGUUCCCUCAGAAUGGUUGGAAAUCAUUCGCAGAGUGUAAAGGUAUAAGGGAGCUUGACUGCGAGAGCUACAACUCGAGCAGGGACGAAAGUCGGGCUUAGUGAUCCGGUGGUUCCGUAUGGAAGGGCCAUCGCUCAACGGAUAAAAGCUACCCUGGGGAUAACAGGCUUAUCUCCCCCAAGAGUUCACAUCGACGGGGAGGUUUGGCACCUCGAUGUCGGCUCGUCGCAUCCUGGGGCUGUAGUCGGUCCCAAGGGUUGGGCUGUUCGCCCAUUAAAGCGGCACGCGAGCUGGGUUCAGAACGUCGUGAGACAGUUCGGUCCCUAUCCGUCGCGGGCGUAGGAAAUUUGAGAGGAUCUGCUCCUAGUACGAGAGGACCAGAGUGGACUUACCGCUGGUGUACCAGUUGUCUUGCCAAAGGCAUCGCUGGGUAGCUAUGUAGGGAAGGGAUAAACGCUGAAAGCAUCUAAGUGUGAAACCCACCUCAAGAUGAGAUUUCCCAUGAUUAUAUAUCAGUAAGAGCCCUGAGAGAUGAUCAGGUAGAUAGGUUAGAAGUGGAAGUGUGGCGACACAUGUAGCGGACUAAUACUAAUAGCUCGAGGACUUAUCCAA